rnacentral:rRNA from 1 species
CAGUAGCCGCGGGAAUACAGAGGGUGCGAGCGUUAAUCGGAUUUACUGGGCGUAAAGCGUGCGUAGGCGGCUUUUUAAGUCGGAUGUGAAAUCCCUGAGCUUAACUUAGGAAUUGCAUUCGAUACUGGGAAGCUAGAGUAUGGGAGAGGAUGGUAGAAUUCCAGGUGUAGCGGUUAAAUGCGUAGAGAUCUGGAGGAAUACCGAUGGCGAAGGCAGCCAUCUGGCCUAAUACUGACGCUGAGGUACGAAAGCAUGGGGAGCAAACAGGAUUAGAUACCCCCGUAGUCCCUGUCUCUUAUAC